GAGUUUGAUCCUGGCUCAGAACGAACGCUGGCGGCGUGCUUAACACAUGCAAGUCCAACGUGAAAGGGGGAGCAAUCCCCCCGGUAAGGUGGCGAACGGGUGAGUAAGACAUGGGAAAUCUGCCUGGGAGAUGGGGAUAUCCCUCCGAAAGGGGGGCUAAUACCGAAUACCGUCCGGGUUCUGAAAGGGAUCCGGGGAAAGGGAGGCCUCUGGCAACAUGCUUCCGCUCCGAGAGGAGCCCAUGGCCCAUCAGCUAGUUGGUAGGGUAAAGGCCUACCAAGGCGAAGACGGGUAGCUGGUCUGAGAGGACGAUCAGCCACACUGGCACUGAGACACGGGCCAGACUCCUACGGGAGGCAGCAGUGAGGAAUUUUGCGCAAUGGGGGCAACCCUGACGCAGCAACGCCGCGUGUGGGAAGAAGGCUUUCGGGUUGUAAACCACUUUUGUAAA
rnacentral:rRNA from 1 species